CGUGAAAUUGUUGAAAGGGAAGCGCUUGUGACCAGACGUGCGUCCGGUGAAUCACCCAGCUCUCGCGGCUGGGGCACUUCGCCGGCACAGGCCAGCAUCAGCUUGCCGUCGGGGACAAAAGCUUCAGGAACGUAGCUCUCUUCGGGGAGUGUUAUAGCCUGUUGCAUAAUGCCCUUCGGCGGGCUGAGGUACGCGCUCCGCAAGGAUGCUGGCGUAAUGGUCAUCAGCGACCCGUCUUGAAACACGG
rnacentral:rRNA from 1 species